GAUGAACGCUGGCGGCGUGCCUAAUACAUGCAAGUCGAGCGAACGGACGAGAAGCUUGCUUCUCUGAUGUUAGCGGCGGACGGGUGAGUAACACGUGGAUAACCUACCUAUAAGACUGGGAUAACUUCGGGAAACCGGAGCUAAUACCGGAUAAUAUUUUGAACCGCAUGGUUCAAAAGUGAAAGACGGUCUUGCUGUCACUUAUAGAUGGAUCCGCGCUGCAUUAGUUAGUUGGUAAGGUAACGGCUUACCAAGGCAACGAUGCAUAGCCGACCUGAUAGGGUGAUCGGCCACACUGGAACUGAGACACGGUCCAGACUCCUAAGGGAGGCAGCAGUAGGGAAUCUUCCGCAAUGGGCGAAAGCCUGACGGAGCAACGCCGCGGGAGUGAUGAAGGUCCUCGGAUCGUAAAACUCUGUUAUUAGGGAAGAACAUAUGUGUAAGUAACUGUGCACAUCUUGACGGUACCUAAUCAGAAAGCCACGGCUAACUACGUG
rnacentral:rRNA from 1 species